GAUGAAGAACGUAGCGAAAUGCGAUAAGUAAUGUGAAUUGCAGAAUUCAGUGAAUCAUCGAAUCUUUGAACGCACAUUGCGCCCCUUGGUAUUCCGAGGGGCAUGCCUGUUCGAGCGUCAUUACACCACUCAAGCACUGCUUGGUAUUGGGCAUCGUCCGUCGAAAGGCGGGCGUGCCUCGAAGACCUCGGCGGGGUUUCUCCAACUUCGGGCGUAGUAGAGUUAAAUCGAACGUCUUAUAAGCUUGGUGGGACUCCAUUGCCGUUAAACCUUUUAUUUUCUAGGUUGACCUCGGAUCAGGUAGGGAUACCCGCUGAACUUAAGCAUACAAUAAGCGGAGGA
rnacentral:misc_RNA from 1 species